ACCUGGCUGGCUCAGCUGGCAGAGCAUGCGAUUCUUGGUUUCAGAGUCAUGAGUUCAAGCCUCAUGUUGGGUG
rnacentral:tRNA from 1 species